CAGUGUGACAGCUUUUAGAAUUUGUCUAGCAGGCUUUCCGGUCUUCACUGGAAAGCCCGU
ensembl:snRNA U7 U7 small nuclear RNA